rnacentral:misc_RNA from 1 species
AAGUCGUAACAAGGUUUCCGUAGGUGAACCUGCGGAAGGAUCAUUAACACGUAUCCAAACGUUUAAAAAAAAGAAAACCCCCCCUGUGAACAUUUGCUUGCUCUUGCAGCCCGCCUGGCUAGAAAAUCCCUGGUAAAUCAUCGCUGAACUAGUUUGAUUCAGGGACCGUCUGGUUGGGUGAGAGCCAUAGCUGCAAUCGAGAGAUCGUGGCAUAACCAAGCCUGCUCCGUAAAGUCCCCUGCGUACGUGAAAGUGGUAUUGGGGUGUAUGUACUGGAGAAACCCUUCUGGAUGAUGGAUCGUGCCCCCCAGGAUUACCCCGCUACCAGUCGAAACGACCAACCUGCGCAACCAUUACGUGUUGAGCCCGUGGGCGUCGUAAACCGAAAUACUUGAACAACUGUUAACAAUGGAUAUCUUGGUUCUC